rnacentral:tRNA from 1 species
GCCUCCGUAGCUCAGGGGAUAGAGCACAUUCCUCCUAAGAAUGGGGUCGUACGUUCGAUUCGUGCCGGAGGCGCCA